rnacentral:rRNA from 1 species
GAUGAACGCUGGCGGCGUGCCUAAUACAUGCAAGUCGAGCGAACAGAUGAGGAGCUUGCUCCUCUGACGUUAGCGGCGGACGGGUGAGUAACACGUGGAUAACCUACCUACAAGACUGGGAUAACUUCGGGAAACCGGAGCUAAUACCGGAGAAUAUAUUGAACCGCAUGGUUCAAUAGUGAAAGACGGUUUUGCUGUCACUUAUAGAUGGAUCCGCGCCGCAUUAGCUAGUUGGUAAGGUAACGGCUUACCAAGGGAACGAUGCGUAGCCGACCUGAGAGGGUGAUCGGCCACAGUGGAGCUGAGACGCGGUCCAGGCUCCUACGGGAGGCAGCAGUAGGGAAGCUUCCGCACUGGGCGAAAGCCUGACGGAGCAACGCCGCGUGGGUGAUGAAGGUCUUCGGAUCGGAAAACUCUGUUAUUAGGGUAGAACAAAUGUGUAUGUAACUAUGCACGUCUUGACGGUACGUAAUCAGAAAGCCACGGCUACCUACUU